UGCCAAUUCCUAGAUAAUUAGAUUUCCUUCUCUUACCAUUGAUUUUUGCUUCCCCAGUAUUAGAAUUUUACUUUAUUUUUUUAAAUUUCUGGCAGUAUUUUCCUUCUCUACUUGUACUAUUCUUUUAGCAAAAAAUAAAAAUAGAAAUAGACAAAACUUUGCUAAAUGACGAAUUUCAACUAGUUGUCCCACUUUAUAUAUGUAUGUAAAAGAAAAAUCUUCUGAAUUUGUCCCAUAUAUAAAAGGUGAAAUGAAAAUAACACUCAUCACUUAAUUAAUGAAUAUUACAGAAGAGACUUCAUAUAGUUCCCUUCUAUUAGCUACUGAUUCAACUCAAAUUUUAUUAAUUUAAGGUUCAUUUUUUUAUACAUCAGAAAAUUUUUGAAACAUGUGAUAAAAUAGAAUUAUUAUUACAAUUAUUUACAUAUUUUACAAGAUAGGCAUUCCAUUUUGGAUCAAACAAGAAUGUCAUAAACAUUAGAAAAAAGCAUGCUCUCCUCUAUAUCUAUAUAUAAAGAAUGGGUUAUACAGAGGAAACCUUAUCUUGAAAAAGAAAGCAGAAAAAUCUAAUGGAAAAAGGCAAUACCUUUGGUUUUGAGGUCAGGGAUUUUUGCUAUGAAAAUACAAAUAAAUAAAAUGAAAUACCUUUGGUUUUGAGGUCAGGGAUUUUUGCUAUCACAAUACAAAUAAAUAAAAUGAUAUGUAUAUAUAGAUCCAUGCUUUUGAUCACAUACAUGCAUGGAUUCACACAUCAAAGCUGUCAAUUAAAAGGACAAAAAGCAAACUGACAUGCACUUGGGUUUUGCAUGCCACUAUAACUUAUCAUGCCAAGAUUGCGUCUUCUUUUAUACAUAUAUAUUUAUGGAGUCAAGUCUAAUUUUAUUUUUCAAUUUCCGUAAAAAUAAAAAUAUAAAUUCAAUUCUCUAAAAAUUUAUUGCUCUCUCCUCAAAAGGAAUUUACACCUUCGUCUAUAGAAAAAAAAAUUCUUGCAAAAAGCACCAAACUUCAAACCUAUUAGUCUGGGAGCAGAGCAUGUAAUAAGAUUAAGGGAUGAUUUGCAUGUGAAAAUAUUACUAAGUAGUUUAUGAUGCAAAAUUAUUUUUCAAUUCAUGUUCUUUUUACUGUAGUUACCACAUUGUUUAGAGAGAGAAAGAGAGGAAACAGUGGGGGAUUGAGACAAUCUCCUUGGGUAUAGCCGACCAAGGUACGCUUACCAAUACAUUUGUUGCCCGUACAUUCUAACAAUUCAUCUCUCUCUACGUAACAUUUAUCUCUCUACGUAACAUUUAUCUCUUUCUUGAUUCUUUUGUUAGAAAAAUAAUAAUCCUUAUAGAAUGAAACAAAUCAAACCUAAUUAGUCAUUGAGAUUGAAAACUCUCAGUGUUACCACAUCUUAUAUUUUAUUGUGGAUCCGUUUGUUUUCGUAAAAUAAUAUGCAGAUCGUUGGAAACGUUCAAGAAAUAAGUUAAUGAAAAAUAUUUUCCUAAUCAAAGAGAAAUUAAGUCAUUUUUAAAGAAAAUAAUUUUCAAUUUUAAUAGAGUAAAAUAUUUUCUUUACAUUAACAAACUGAAGUUAUUUUUUGAAUAACAAUAUGAUAUGCAGGAUUUAUUUAAUCUCUCUCUCGUAUUCAACUAAUCAAUCCCUCUAUUUCAAUUUUCAAUCACAAUUGUUAAUUGUCGCAACAAAUUUCUUUUAUGAGGAAUUAAUAAUUAUAUUAUAAAAGAAAUUAAUUAAUUAAUUAAUUAAAACAGUAAAUAUUGGAAAUUAGGUGUCGGUAAAAAGAAAAAAGGCAAAAACAUGAGUUGCUUAUUAUUAUUAGCUUCAAAAAUAUUUAAUUAGGUGUCAUGAUGAUCAAUCUUUUACGUAGUUCAUUGUCCCUUUGUGUUUAAUUAGGGAGGUGGUAGUGCUCAAUGCUUACCUGAUGCUGCAUGCAACGCACGUUUGUAUAUAUAUUUAGACCUUUAUCGUAUUUUAUAAAAAAAUUAUAGCAUAAAAUAAUAUUUUUUAAUAUAUUUAAGUACUCUUACCAUUAUUUUGUCUGGUUACCAAUUUUAAUUUUUAAGGAUUUUUAUAUGCUAUUUAUAAUUUUUUUUACAUUUCAAAAUUUGAAAAAAAAAUGGCUUGGGAGUUCAUGCCCUCCAAUAAAGAAAAUGCAUUUCCAAAAUGCUAAUGCUUGAAUUAAUGGUGAUGAUGGUGCUGAAUAAAACAAAUUGAAAAAGGAAAAUUUCACAUAUUUGUGAUUGUGUUUCUAACGACAUUAAAAUAAGUUUUGAUUUUCUUUUUUUUUUUUAAGAUCAUAAAUUGUAAUUUCAUCCCUCUUUUUUUUUAAAAAAAAAAUUUUGGAAUAGGUAAUAAACUAUUGAAUUAUUUAUCUAAUGAAUUAAUUCUCAAUUAUUUUUUUAUGAUUUAUUAAAUUAUUUAACAGAAUAUGAUUAACUAGAGCUUUUUGCUAGCAAUAACCUUUACUAUAAUUGUUCUUUUAUAAUUAUUAAUUCCUAUAUAAUAAACAAUUAUAUAUUAAUUAACAUAAGUAUUUUUUUUUUUUAAGAAAAGAAAAAUACUUGAUGCACAUAUAAUUGAGAUUGAGUAGCUAAAUCAAAUCAAGAUAAACUUCUUUGACCAUAUAGUGAAACAUUGCAAAAGCAAAACCCACCAAACUGUUUAAAUAUGGUAAUAAAAUGAAAAUUGAUAUUAAGGAGUGUACAAGGGCAUUUAGGUCAAUGUGUAUUGUUCCCAAGGUGCAAAUAGGUCCAAAAGAAUUUAAUGAAGGCAACCUAAUAUACACCAAAACAGCCUAACGGUAUAUUUCCAAGAUUCUAUUUGUUUUUUGCUCCAAAAAAAAAAAAAUUGUUUUUUACAAUUAGAUUCUUUCACCCUAAUUCUAAUCAUUCUUGUUAGUUACCAAAAUCCAUGAAUUUUUCUAUUUUGAUCCAUAUUAUUUUAAAAUUUAUAAUUUUAAUCUUGAUGAAUUUUAUUAACAAAUCAACAUAAAAUUAUAAAAUUUUCACUCCACUCCAGUCACUAACAUUUCAAAAAUUAAAUAUUUAUUUUCCAAUUACUAUAUCUUAUAAAAAUGUUACUAAUUAAUAAUAGACUGCAUAAAACAAAAAAACACAAAAGAACUAUUUAAAAAAUAUUUACGCUCUAUAAUUUGAGGGGAUUAAACUUUUUUAUUAUAAAAAAAAUACAUUAAUUUCAUAAUAGUAGAGGCUAAAAUAUAUUAAAGAACUGUUCAUAUAUAUAUAUAUAUAUAUAAGAAAAUCUUCAAGGAGUGUUUUAGCAAUUAAAACUUAAUAAUAUUAAAUUCAAAAGAAAAGGAACCCUACUACUGCUACUGCUAUAAGGAAAAAUAUUCACACUAUUCUCUUAUGCCCAUUAUUUUUUUUUUCUCUUCCUUUUUCUUUGCCUUUACUCUGUUGAAUCAUCAGUACUAGUGAUCUCUCUCCACCAUCCAAACUCUCUUCAGUCAUCUUGUACUCUCUCGCUCUCUCUCUCUCUUGCCAUCUCCAUCUAUAAAAGCAAAACCCCACAAAAGCUAAACUAUUCCUUUCUCUCUUUCUUUCAACCAUGGCUGACCCAUACUCAAAUUUCUUCAGUGGUUGGUUCAAGUUCAACAAUAAUAUGAAUACUAAUACUAAUAGUAAUCUUAACCCUUUUCUUCAUCAUUACCCAUCUCAAAUUCCAUCUCUUCCUCAACAGCCAGAAAUUCCUUUUUAUACAAAUCCUUUGACUGUAAACCAAAAUCACUCGUUUUUUCACAACCAAACUAGACCUCCAUCUCCUCCUCUAAGAGAAGCCCUACCCCUUUUAAGGUUAACUCCAACAAGAGAAGAAAAAGACCAAGAACAAGAAAAUCAAGAACUUCUAGAUCAAGAAAAUCAAGAAUUACAGAUUUCUUGCACUACUGGUAUGGAUAUGUUGGGCAAAGAUCAAGAAAGGAGUAGUACUUCGUUUUCUACUAGUGGAUUUAGUGCUAAUAAUAAUAAUAAUGAUGAGGAAGAAGAUCAAGAAGAAGAAGAAGAUGAUACUGUUACUGUUGCACUGCAUAUAGGGUUACCUAGCCCUAGUGCUGCAGAAAUAGCUUCCGUGCUAUCUUCUUCUUCAGAUGUAACUCAUGAAAAAGAUGGAGAUGAUUCUAACGGGUACCCUAUUAACAGGCUUAAUAAGGGUCAAUAUUGGAUCCCUACUCCUUCUCAGAUUCUGAUUGGCCCUACUCAGUUUUCAUGUCCUGUUUGCUGCAAAACCUUCAACAGAUACAAUAACAUGCAGGUAAGGUUAAUUAAUUAAUUUCAUGUCAUCAAAUCAAUACUCGUUUCUUUUCCUUCUUUUUUUUUUCUCCCUUUCUUUUGUCAAGAGAAUUUUGAAGAAAAAAAAAAAAACCAUGAGUUAAUUUUUUUUAACUUUUUGCCAGAUUUGAAUCUUUUUCAGUAUUAGCUAGUGUUUCUUAUGGUUGGAUUUAAAGAAGAAAAAUCAGUUUGAUCUUACACAUAAAAUUCUGUUCUUACCUUCUCAUGUUUUUUUGGAACUUGGGUUUUCUUUUUCUUUUUUGAGAAUUUAUUUAUUCCUUUUUUUUUUUUUUUUUUUUUUGCAUGGUAUAUAUGGGUUUGGAGUUCCAAUAAAUUUUCUGAUCCAAACUGGGACUAAGAUCAGUAUCUUCCUUUAUGUGAUUGAACAACUCAGGCAAUGUUCCUUGUGCCUUUAAUACUUUGAAGUUUGUGCUGUAAAACAGUAACAUAUCUGUGUUUAGAACUGAAAUUUUUGCAAGUCGCAGAUCAUCUUUAAUUAAACAACAAACCUUCAUUUCUCUAGCUAUAUCUUUGAACCUUCCGAUAGUCCACACAACAAACAAACACUUCUCUUCAUUUCUUGAAUGUAAUCAAGAAAUGCACUCCUAUAUAUUACAAGAACAAGCCUAUAGCUCAGUUCACUAUAUAGAAUUCUGCUUUCAGUUAAUCACCCAGAAAAAAAAAAAUUAAAACAAAGAUCAAUAAAAACUCUCAUUUCUGUACUUUCAUAAAAGCUACUUUUCAUUUUCAUAUGUUCUUCAAUGUUUUUCUUUUUUUUUCACAAAAAUUAAUUUCAAAGUAAAGUACUUGCUUUAAGAAUGACUAUUUGAGCAAUAUCCUCUUGACACGGUUUUGCAUAUAAUUAAGAUAUGUACGUGCCACUAAAUAAUUCUACUUUGAAUUGGUUCUUUUAUAUAUAAGGUUAAAAUGAAAAAUUAAUAAUUCCAAAAUUUUUGAUUAAUCUGCUUUUGUGAUUAGAUAGCACUUUAGUUUGCUGUGUUUGUUUUUGCUUGUGUGUUUAUAUAUAUGCACAAUUACCCAACUCUACUGAAUAAUGAAUUUUUUUAAUUAAUUUUGUGUAUAUGUAUAACAUAUAGAUGCAUAUGUGGGGGCAUGGAUCUCAAUACAGAAAAGGGCCAGAAUCUCUAAGAGGAACACAACCAACAGGAAUGUUAAGGCUUCCUUGUUAUUGUUGUGCAGUGGGUUGCAGAAAUAAUAUUGAUCAUCCAAGAGCGAAGCCAUUAAAAGAUUUUAGAACUUUGCAAACACAUUAUAAGAGAAAGCAUGGGAUUAAGCCUUUUAUGUGUAGAAAAUGUGGGAAGGCUUUUGCGGUAAGAGGAGAUUGGAGAACACAUGAAAAGAAUUGUGGAAAGCUUUGGUAUUGUAUUUGUGGUUCUGACUUUAAGCACAAAAGAUCACUUAAAGAUCACAUCAAAGCUUUUGGUAAUGGCCAUGCAGCUUAUGGUAUUGAUGGUUUUGAAGAAGAAGAUGAUCCUGCUUCUGAAGUUGAACAAGAUAAUGAUUAAUUAAUUAAUUAAUUCCCAUGUAGUUAAUUAAUUAUUAGUAUAGCCAGAAGAUUAAUUAAUUAAUUAAUGGAGGGUAUUCAGGUUAUUAUUAGUGAAGUUUUAUUUAAUUAGCUAUCAUGAUGAGAACUAGAAUUAGUUUAAUUAUAUUGGAAUUUAUAUAUAUAAUAUAUGAAAUAGUUUAGGCUUUUGAAGUAAGAAGUAUAUAAGCAUCAAUUGUUUACUUGGAAAGCCAUCUUCAAUAUAUUUCCUUUUUUCUUUUAAUUAUUUUGAGCAUUUUAAUUAAGUUAUUGCUUUCAUGCUAAUUAGGAAAAUUUAAUUAGUUAUCGUUGAUGCAUUCAUUUGUUCUUAACUAUUAGUAUUACAUUGAGAUCUUCGAUCAAGAAGGCUGCAAAUUUAUAUCAGAAGAUUAUGUGAAAACCAAACCCUCACAAUAUUUAGAUAAUUUUUUCACAAAUAUUUGAAGGAGCUCCAAUAUAUUAAUUUGAUUACCUAAAUCUUAAUCUAUAUACAGAGGAGUAUUUGAUGAGCAGUUCAAGUUGUUAAUGAGUUUAAAAUAUUUGGUAGUUCAGUGUUUGGAGUAAUAUUUCAAACUUCAAUGGUUAAUUAUCUAAUAAAUAUUAUGAUUAAAAAUUUAAAUUUGGAAGCAGCAGCAUUUGAUUCUCUAAUAGCAAGUCGUUGAGGAUUGGUAUUUACUUGUAAUAAAUCCUAAUUAUAUGCAUUAGAAGAUAUAAAUUGAGCUAGCAAAUUCAUGAACUGCUUAUUCAAGUACAAAUAAGUGGUUGAGCUGUGUUUUUUUUUUCUUUUUCAGUAUAGUUUGGAAAUUGUGUGGUAUUUUGAUAUUUUUUCCUUCCCACAGCCAUGGAUAUGUGCAAAGAAUUAACGUCAAGAGAAGCUUCCAUGCACAUUAUAUAUAUGCAUGCAUGAAGUGGGAUUUUAACUAUGGAUGUUUGCCGUAAUUAAUGAUUCAAAUCAUAACAUAUAUAUACAAAGCUAGCAAAUGGGUAUGGGGAGAAAGAGAGAAUGUACAUGAAAGAAUUAAGAAAUGGAUGGAUGGAUGGAUGGAUGAAGAAGACAGGUGAUGGAGUGAGAGAGAGUAUAUUUUGUUUGUUCCAAAUGUAGUUGAGAUAGGCUUUUCAUUCUGCAAAAUGCAUCAGCUUUUUGAGAGGGUGCAUUUGAUGCCCUUUUGCUUUGGUUAGUGGAAAGAUGUGUGUGUCUCUCUAUUGAUGGAUGGAACAUAUACCAUUUCAGAUUCACUGUUUGCUUCGAAAAUUCAAAACAAAUCAUUAGCUUUUAUAGAGAGAGAGAGAGAGACUGUGAGAGUCAGCAAUUAAACUAAAAUCAACACAAUAUAUAAACACUUUAAAAGAAAAUUACAGAUUCAGUUAGGGUCAAUAAUAAUUUUUUUAUCGAAAAAUAUAAAUUUAUUAUUAGUAGGAAACAGCUGAAGCAAGUAGAAAAAACUCCCCUAUCCAGUAUUCUACCCACCUAAUCCAGGGUCAAUUAUAAUUUUGAUGGCAUUAAUUACUGAAAAGGAUUUCAAGAUUAAAGUACAAACUGGAGACCUAUUAUUCCAGAUGAUUAAUUUAAUAUUGUUCAAAUAAGAAUUUGGCUGAGGUGGUAAGCAAAGUCCCAAUAAGAGUGAUAACAUAAAUUCGAUAUCUAGAAAUCACAUUUGCUGGGUAAAAACUUUUACAUUCUUAUGUCCGAAAGAAAUUACACAUUGUGUUUCUAUAAAAAAAGUUAAUUAAGAAAAUCAUUACUGAUUAAAUUGAUUUGUCAUUUUGCUCUGAUUAAAAAAAAAAAAAGAAAAGAAAAGAAAUAUUGGAAUGGAUCUUGUUGGCAGAUUUGUGUGUGAAAGAGGGGAGGAUGGGCAAAGAGUAAACGAUGAGGCUAAAAAUAAACAGAAAGAGAGUGGACGGCAAGGUCUAUUGGUUGGGCAAAUUGGCAACACAUACUGAUGCCUCCUACAGUGCAUGCAGACCUCUUAACUGUACAUUGAAACGACAUAUCAAUGCCUCUCUCUCUCUCUCUCUCUCUCUCUCUUUGACCAAAAUUUCAACCUGCAUUUUCCUUUGCUCUUAGUACAUCAUAUUGUACACUGGCGUUCAACUACAUGCAUUCAUAAUUAUCAGAAACAAAUUAUUUUUAUUUAUUUAUCUAUUUAUAUUAUAUGGUCUUGGGAUCAUUUAAAAUCAAAAAAGAUAUCAGAAUAUUAUUUAUAUAAAUUAAAGAUUUAAAAGUACUGAUAUUUUAAGUUGGAUAGGCAUGUGGAUUUUUAUAAAUUAUAAUUCUUUUUUUUUUUUUCUUUUUUAAGAUAAAAGAAAUGUAGUACUGUUCAUGCAAAAUUCUUCACAGCCAGUCGAUCUCAGAAGCUACUCCAUUUGUUCACAAUCAAUGUCUUAACCCUACCAUAUUUGACCCUCCACCAUCCCCCUCUUCUAUAAAUCACCUUGGCCCUCUCUCUCUCUCUCUCUAGUAAAGCAUGCAAGCAUUUGAAAGUUGCAUAGUAAUUAAUAAUUUCAUAUAUUUUUCUAUUACUUAAUCUCAUAUUUUAAAUAAUUAAUUGACAGUUGAUCCAACUAAAGUAAACUAUGUUAAUUUCUAAUGAAAUCUUUUAAGGUUUAAAGCCUAUAAAGUCUCUAAUGCUCAGAGAACUUUGAUAGAAUAUAUAUUAUCUCGGCUUAUUUAGGUUUUCUCCGGCAAAAUUAACUAUCUAAGUACUAGUUUUUAGUUAUUGUAGUAGUUUGUCAAUUUUUUUACUAGUGUUCAUUAAACCUUAAAGAGAGUAAUCUUUCAUAAUCAGCUCUUUUAAACUUUAAAUACUCAAAACACUAAUUAAAUGCUAUAUUAAACUAAUUUAAGAGAUAAUAUCAAUAUAUUUAUUGCUUUUAUUAUUGAUUUAAAGGUAAUUUCAAUAAAUUAGGCGUAUUAAUUAAUUAUACAACGCUUUUCUUUUGCAUACAAAAUACAGAAUGAGAUGAUUAGCUAUUCAAAAGUUUUUGGCAUAUAUCUUUAAAUAAAGAAAAAGCUAGGCAUCGGUCCCAAUCCCAAAUGAGAGAUUUUUGCUAGAAAAUGGUUCACAUGCAUGCAAUUUCAAGACCUCAUCAAUUCAAAUUCUUCUUCUUUUUAUUAUUAUUAAUAUAAUACUUUCCUUUGCUUAAAAUCCCAAUACCCUUUUUUCAGUUCCUUUUUGCAAUUAAAUACACAAUAAAUUUAUAAUUAAUUAAUAAGAUUGGUUCCAUAAUUCCAUUAUACUGUUGGCUUGACCUUGUCAAGCAGACCAACCAAGAAAGAGAGAAUACGUAUAAUAAUGUAUUUAUAUAUUUUUAUUCUCUCCUUUGUAUUUAUAUUCCAAUACAAAGGGGACAGCCUUGUCUCCCUUGCCUCGACUCACUAACAUUAUACAAUUAAUUAAUUAUUAACUCAGAAAAAAACAAAAGAGACAUGUGUAUGUAUGCACAUUUUUUUUUUAUUGGUAUGACAUAUAUUUUUUAGAAAGAAUUUACUGUUGGUAAUAAUUUUUAUCUUUUGUGAUGCAGAAAGGAAGAUUUCUUUUAGCCUAUGAAAGCAUGACAUGGAAACCAAAUUCUCUAUGGCAAAUGAAACUUUAAUUUGUACGUUUAUCAGACAAUAUCUGAUUUCUUAUUGGUAAAGCACAAAAUUUUCACUUUGAAGCAAAAAAAAAAAAAAAAAAAAAAAAAAAAAAAAAAAAAAAAAAAAAAAAAAUCAUUUUACAAAAUUCAAGCCAAUUAAAUCUUAGUGGGGUGCUAAAGGUGAACAUGUCCAUCACCAUAAUAAAAGCUAUUAAGACAUGACCAUUGAACAAUUAAUAAUUAAGAAUGAAAUAUAUAAACUUUUAAUUUCAUUAAAAUGAGAGUUUUUUUCUUUCUAAAUUACCAUCUACUACUUUAAUAAAAAUUACUCCCUCAAUCCAAAAAGAUAAUUCAUCUUUUCUUUUUAAUUUGUCCCAAAAUAUAGUCCACUUUUCUUUUUUCACUAUAGUUAAUCAUUGAAUUGUCUACUAUACCAUUAUUAAAUUAUCUUAUUUUCAAUAACCAUCAUUAAUUAUUAGUUAUUACUUUUCAAUAUUCAUGUAUUAUUUAAGAUGGACAUAAUAGAAAAGUUAUAUAAAUAAAAUUGUCCUUUAAUCAUAUUUCUUAAUCUAUGUAAAAAUAAAAAGUGAAAUAUCUUUUUGGGACGGAAUAGUAAUACACUAAUAGUAAUACAUAUAUAUAUAUAUAUGUCAAUCAAAAAUGUUUUGAUUGAUCUUCUCACUAAUAUGAAAAGUUGGAGGUCUCAAAUUCAAGUAUUUCCAUCACAAGUGUUUUCACCAAUUCAGUAAAUUAAAUAAUUCAGUAAAUUAAAUAAAGGUUAUGUCAUGUUAUAUAGCCUGCAGUUUUUUUUCGAUUCAUUGGAUCUCUCAAUGAAUCAACUCAACAACUGACGUAAAAAGGCAGGUUGGGCACCGCUCCUCUCGAUCCUUUUUUGUUUAUUUAUUUCACUUUACAUACCGUUAAUUUUUUUUUAUUUAAAAUCCUAAUUUUGAAUUUUUUUUUUGGUCUCCUUAACCUUAGAGUUUGAGCCUAUCACUAGUUCAAAAGUAAACUUCAAGGAUUAUAAUGUUAAUAAUUAUUCCUAAAUAAUAUUAUUAUCUUAUUAAUUUAUGUAAAAAAUUAAGUAAAUAAAAUUAAACUUGAGGUUAGUCUAAUAUUCCUCAAAGUAUAUGAGACAACUUUGUUAGAGAGGACCCAGUAAGCAAUAGGAAAAGCAAAAUAAUCUUGACCCAUAAUCACAAGUAUCUUUGAAAAGGAAUAUAUAUAUAUAUAUAUUACAUAAAUCAUAAAUAAUAAUUAAUAAUUAAAAAAAAAAAAGAUGGUCCAAAAAUCCUUCUUUUGGACUAUACCUAGAGAUCUCUUAAAAUUUUCUCAGGAUCAUUAUCCAUGACAAAGUUACCCUGCUUUGGUGCCUGGAGAUUCUCCAACUUGUGAGUGAUUGGGUAUCUUUGUUCUUAUUAUUAUUGUUGUAGAGAAUAAAAAAAAAAAAAAAAAAAAAAAAAAAAAAAAAAAAAAAAAAAGUAAAAAAUAAAAGUUACUUUACCAUAUUGAUGCCACCAAGCCAAUUAAAUCUUAGUGGGGUGCUAAAGGUGAACAUGUCCAUCACCAUAAUAAAAGCUAUUAAGACAUGACCAUUGAACAAUUAAUAAUUAAGAAUGAAAUAUAUAAACUUUUAAUUUCAUUAAAAUGAGAGUUUUUUUCUUUCUAAAUUACCAUCUACUACUUUAAUAAAAAUUACUCCCUCAAUCCAAAAAGAUAAUUCAUCUUUUCUUUUUAAUUUGUCCCAAAAUAUAGUCCACUUUUCUUUUUUCACUAUAGUUAAUCAUUGAAUUGUCUACUAUACCAUUAUUAAAUUAUCUUAUUUUCAAUAACCAUCAUUAAUUAUUAGUUAUUACUUUUCAAUAUUCAUGUAUUAUUUAAGAUGGACAUAAUAGAAAAGUUAUAUAAAUAAAAUUGUCCUUUAAUCAUAUUUCUUAAUCUAUGUAAAAAUAAAAAGUGAAAUAUCUUUUUGGGACGGAAUAGUAAUACACUAAUAGUAAUACAUAUAUAUAUAUAUAUGUCAAUCAAAAAUGUUUUAAUUGAUCUUCUCACUAAUAUGAAAAGUUGGAGGUCUCAAAUUCAAGUAUUUCCAUCACAAGUGUUUUCACCAAUUCAGUAAAUUAAAUAAUUCAGUAAAUUAAAUAAAGGUUAUGUCAUGUUAUAUAGCCUGCAGUUUUUUUUCGAUUCAUUGGAUCUCUCAAUGAAUCAACUCAACAACUGACGUAAAAAGGCAGGUUGGGCACCGCUCCUCUCGAUCCUUUUUUGUUUAUUUAUUUCACUUUACAUACCGUUAAUUUUUUUUUAUUUAAAAUCCUAAUUUUGAAUUUUUUUUUUGGUCUCCUUAACCUUAGAGUUUGAGCCUAUCACUAGUUCAAAAGUAAACUUCAAGGAUUAUAAUGUUAAUAAUUAUUCCUAAAUAAUAUUAUUAUCUUAUUAAUUUAUGUAAAAAAUUAAGUAAAUAAAAUUAAACUUGAGGUUAGUCUAAUAUUCCUCAAAGUAUAUGAGACAACUUUGUUAGAGAGGACCCAGUAAGCAAUAGGAAAAGCAAAAUAAUCUUGACCCAUAAUCACAAGUAUCUUUGAAAAGGAAUAUAUAUAUAUAUAUAUUACAUAAAUCAUAAAUAAUAAUUAAUAAUUAAAAAAAAAAAAGAUGGUCCAAAAAUCCUUCUUUUGGACUAUACCUAGAGAUCUCUUAAAAUUUUCUCAGGAUCAUUAUCCAUGACAAAGUUACCCUGCUUUGGUGCCUGGAGAUUCUCCAACUUGUGAGUGAUUGGGUAUCUUUGUUCUUAUUAUUAUUGUUGUAGAGAAUAAAAAAAAAAAAAAAAAAAAAAAAAAAAAAAAAAAAGGAGAAAAUAAACUUCAUUGAGAAGAAAGAGAGCAUACUUAAAGAAAGAGGGAGAGGCAUAUCUAGGCUUUUCUCUCUGCUCAGGUCAGAGAAAAAAGUUAUGUUUGACGUUCAUGGGUAUCAAAUCAACCAUCAACAAACUAUAUUAUUUGAGUUUGUUUUUUUAUAUAUCUCAAUUUAUAAAUUUUUUUUAUUAUUUUUUAAUGAAAAAAAUUAUUAUAAAAAGAAAGUUUUUUUUUUUUUUUUUUGCCCACAAUAGAAAAAAAUAAAAAUUAAUUUCUAUAUCAUCACGAGAUAAACUAUCUUUAAUUAUUGCAUCAUGCAAAAGUCAGGAGAUAAUACUAUAUGAAGGUGCGUGAUAAUAUAAAAAUUCAUUAACUCUUUACUGUGUAGUUUUUAAUAUUAUUUUAAUAUAUUUAAUUUUUAAAAAAAUGGGAAAGAUAUGGAUUUUUUGCACAAGAUUUUAGUAUUGAAGGUACAUUUAAAAGAAAAGAAAAGAAAGAAGCCAAUAAAGCAAGAAGACUACUCAUCAGAGAACCAAACCCAGAGGGACAAAUACCUUUUAAUUAAAAAGUCCAAAUAGAUAAUUUUAUACAUGAAGAUGCCGAUGUUCAUGCAAUUAUAUACAACUUGGCAACAUGAUAUAUCUUAAUUACACUUUCUCAUAUUGGUGAAGAACGAGCAGGCUGUGCAAGCCCUACGUUUUGUCAAAAUCAAAACUUAAAAAAAUUAAUUUUUCAAAACAUAAAUACAACCUGAUAUGGUAUAGUAAAAAUUAAAAUAUAAAAAUUUUUAAUUUUUCAAAAAAUGUAUUUCUCAAAAAUUAAAUUUAUAUUUUUACUAUUAUCAAGAUAAAAGUCAUUUGUCACCCUGAUACAUACCGUUAAAAUUAAAAUCCUACAUAAUAAGAAAAAAUGUAUAUUUAAUAUAUUGUUCAUCAAUUGAUUUUCAUGGCAAGCUAUUUUACGUGCGGAUAAGAUUUAAAUAUUUGUUUUAUUUUAUAUAUAUAUAUUUCAAUAAUUAAGAAAUUUUUAUUUUUAAAUUUUGAGAGUAGAAAUUAAUUUGGUUAGUUAAAAUUCUGAUGAUAACUUUAAAUGGUCUAAUCAUUUGCUUAUGACUGACAAAACUGAAUGAUUUGGAUCGAUUCUUAAUUUUGGUGGGUCAUGUUUAAAUAUUAAAUGUAGGACCUAUUUGAGAUGUGGUAGUUUUUACUUUUUAAAAUCUUUAUUUAACUUUUUUUUUUUUUUUUGUUUUUCCUUUUAAAAAGAUAGCUUUCACCACAUUCCUAGAAGGAUCCUAUCCAAGUUGGGAAAAAAAGGUGAGUAUAAUGUUUAAAAAAAAAAAAAGUGGAAAAUCUAUUAAUUAUGAUAAAUGGAAAGUUAGAGAAAUAUGAAGGGAAAAUAUUGUGUGCAAACUAUAUUAUUACAAGGAGGAGGAAAAUAAUUUCAUGAGAAUAUAUAUAUAUAUAAAUUUCAAGUUCGAGAAAGAGGUUUCAAUCCCUUUACUCUUAGUUGCAGAAAAUAAUGAAUAUUAUAUAAAAAGAAAAGCUACUCCCCUUGUACAGUUCAUAUAAUUAUUUUAAUUAUUUUUAUUUACAAUAAAAAUAAUGUAUAGUAUUUUUUUUAUCCAUUGAAAGUUCGAUAGACUGAAAUAAUAUUGUGGGUUACACAAUAUGGGUAGCUCUUCUUCGGACUCACUAAACUACUAAAAACACUUAUGGUCGAGAGGUCUCAAACCUCUCACUCAUCGUAUAAAUGAGAAGAACUACACUUGAUUGGCAAAAGUAACAACGAUAAAAGGAGAAACAUAUAGGUACAUAGAAUUUAUAUAUACCAUCAAUUUACCUUAUUGGAUAUAAUAAUAAUUUUAAUGAUUUUUUUAUUGAAAAUAUUAAUUAACUAAAUUAACAUGUUGUAAUCAUUUUCUGCUUUUAUUUUAUAUAUAUAUAAAAAAAAAGAAUCUUAAAAGGGUGAUGGUAUUAAUUUGUAAUUUUAUGCAGUCCAAAAAGAGAGGAGUGAAUUAUUAGCUUUGAGGCCUAAAAAUAUAAUUUAAAAACAUGUAUGAUUGUGAAUAAAUAAUGGGAGGUAUUUUAUUGAUUAAGGAUAGAGGAAGAGGGACAGAAGACUUAAUUGAUCCCCCUGAAUUAAGGGAUAAGGGACCAAAUAUAGUAUACCAGACAGAUAGAAUAAAAGACCUAAUGCCCUACACAACACAACCUUAUUUUUGUCUACAUGAUACAAAUGAGAAAGGCCAUAGCCAUAUACAUAUGCCUAUACAUAACACAUAUGUAGGAUCAUAAAUGAAUAUUUCUAGGGCACUAUAGCUCAUAACAUCCAACAAGGCGAGGAUUGAUUGAUUUCUUUUUCUUUCCUUUUCUUUUCUGUUUCUUCUAAAAAGUUUCUUUUUUUAAAUUUUGUCUUGUGAAUGUCAAUUUUUAGUUCUUUUUCACUUCUCAACACUUUUUUUUUUUUUACCCUGUUGGCUGGCUGGCCCCAUUUUGAAAAUAGAAAUGUAUAUUGACAAAAGACUCUCUGCGUUGUCAGACGAUCGACCAUCUCCAUUAUUUGGUUUCUCUUCUGUGUUUAUGGCUACAUUAAUUUCAUUUAAGUUCUCCAAAUUUUAGCUUCACUCUAAGUAUUACCAUAAAAGCCUCUUUUCUUUUACUAUUUUUACUAGUAUCUGCGCUUUUUUAAAAUUGAAUUUGUAUUUUUAUUUUUAUUUUUAUUUUAUGAACUUUGAAAUAAAUUAUUUUCAUGUUUCUUUUUACUUGAUGAUAAAGUGAAAUAGGCAGAAGUGUGAAAUAGGUCGGGGCCAUACCCAUAUGAUAUGUAGGAGGAGGCUUUAUUCAUGGCCACUUAAAUAAGAAUUAGGCUCGUACCAUGUCAUGUCCGAUUUCCAAAACCCUCAGUCCAGUACAUGUACAACCUAUAAAUCUCAAUUUUGUCCUGCCGUGCCAAAAAAAAAAAAAAAAUGAAAACGUAUUGUGUCGAUGUAGGUAACUUUGUAUAUCAUUGGUGUUAUAGGCCAAACAAAAUUUUGUUGAGUUUGAACUAGAACUUAGAAGGUAUACACAAAUUUAAAAAAUUGAUAUCGAAUUUAUAGAGAGAGAGAGAGAGAGAGAGAGAAUUUCUAUGGGCUGGGAGAGAGGCCCAAAUGGAUAGAACAUGUCAUGUACCAAAAAGGGCUUAUAUACCUGUAAAUUCUGCAUUUGACAGUAUCAGUUGUUUGAGCCUUACAUUGGAAAUUGCAUCCUCCCAUCGAAUUUAACACUCUAAAACGACCAAAAUUGAAGAGGUUCUUCAUAAAGUCUUUUUGUUACCCAUUAGGGAUUGUUUCUCCAUCUGUUUCAUUGUUCUAUUGCUUGUAAUGCUCAACUAUUUUCAAGAAAGCUUUCCGAUGUGAAUUAAUGUCCAAUAAUAAUACUCUUUCUGUUUCACUUUAAUAGUGAUAAAUAGACACUUUAUCUUGUUUCGUUUUAAAUGCUCAUUUUAAAUUUUGAAAAUGUAUUAAUUAUAUUUUUUUUCAAUUUUACCCAUAUUUUAGGUGUUUUAUAGUAAAAUUAAUUAAAAAAAAUUAAUUCUAAGGACAAUUUAAACGAUUUAUCAUAUAUCUUUAAAAAAUUAACGUGUUUCAAUCAUUUUUUUUAUCGGCAAUCAAGAAAUGAAAUGUUAGUUGUAAAGGGUAGAAGGGAGGUAAUAAUACAUCCAAUCAAUAGUUGCUUGGUUAUGUAGCUACCAUCCAAUUUGUCUUCCCAAUAAAGCGUUACCCACACGUACAUUUUGGUGUGUUGCUAGUACAAUAAAAUGCUGAUUGCUAAGUAUAAUACCCACAAAUGAAGCCUGACCUUUUGCAAAGCAUGGAGAAACAAUAAAACAAGAUUAAUAUGUCUUUUCAUAAUUCUUCACCUUUCAUUCUUUUUCAGUUUUGGCGUUAAGGUGUCUUUAAUUAUAGCUCCCCUUCCCAUAUCCUUUCUCAUGUAACUUUGGGAUAUCCAAUCAAAAUCCCACCUUUACUUCAGUGUGGAAAACAUGACUCAAUGAAAAUAUAAUUUUAUUAUUUUUAAUUCACUCAAUUUUAAUUUUAAGUUCAAAUUCAUAAGUAAAAUAGAUUUGAUUUUAUUUAUAGAUGAAAAAUUACUUAAAAUAAAUCAAAAAUUAUAACUAAGAUACUCUGUGUUUAUGAUUAUUUAUUUGUUUGUUUGUUUAUUUAUUUUAAGAGUAAUCUUAAUCAAAUAAAAAUUAUAUUAUAUUCAUGUUUUAAAAAAUAUUAUCAACAUUACCCUUAUGUCAAAUAGCAAGACAUGCAUUAAUCUUGUUCUUCCUUCUUUUAAAAUGUUGUGCCACUGUGCUUGAUAAUACUUUAAUAUCUAAUUGAAAUUUAAAUUGAUAAACCUAUGAUAAUCAAUAAAUCUCAAAAAAAAAUUACAAAAUUUCAUAAGACUAAGACUGUGUUCGGCAACAAUUAUUUUUUAUAGUGUUCGGCAACACAGCAUUUGAACUAACUUUUAGAGAUUAAGGUAACGUUUUAUAAAAAAUUAAAUCAUGUAGCAUUUAUCAUAAACGUUCAACAACUAACCGCUACUAAAACAACUAGCAACUAUUAAAUUAGCUAAUUUUGUCAAAGAUACCCUAAGUGAGUAUAACAGAGGGAUUAAUUUAUCUAUUUAACUAUACAUUUUUUUAUAAAAAAAAAAAAAAAAGGAAAAAAGAAAAGAAGACAUUCUCUAGAGAAACCAUGUGGUGGUAAUUAAUAAGAAAGUGACUUUUUCAAUCACAAUCAAAACAUAAUUAAAAACAAGAUUGAAGAAUGUCGUGUUGAUAAUUAAAGUGGGGUGUAAAUGACAUUCUUCCUUCAUUAAAUUCAAGAUCCAGAAAAUUUGUUGAUAAUUUUUCUUGCCUCAUUUGAGCAGUCGGUCACUAAAUAUGGUUUGUUCUUUUUGGAAUUUCAUUUCCUAAUUUUCAAAAUCAAACUCUCCUUGUUUUCAGUAAGAUUUUGAUGGCUAGCACAUGGAAUGUGGGAUCUCAUAUUCUUGAUUUUUGAUAGUUCAAUAAAUAAUGUUUUUGGUGAAUUUUGUGGUUAGAUGCUGCUGUUAAAACAUAUAAAAUGAUCAAUAACAAUGUAAUAAUUAAUUUAAUAAAACAUGUAAAAUGAUUGUGGUGAUGAACUCAAUGACCCACUUCCGCAACAAACUUUUUAAAUAGUUUUUAAUAUUUUGAUUAAAAUGUUAUUUUUUAUACUGUUCGAUAACAUAGUGUUUGAAUUAGUUUUUAGAGGUUAUGACAUUUUUUAAAAGAUUAACCCUAUAACGAUUAGUUUUUAACGUUUUAUAAAAAGCUACUCAAAUAGUUACAAACUACUUAAACAGCUAAACGCUACUAAAAUAAUUAACAGCUAUCAAAACAGUUAAUUUUGUCGAAUAUGUCCUAUAUAAAGCUAAAUCAAUAUAUUACGUAUUAUUAAAAGUACAAACUAUAUUAAUAAUGUGUUGGUUGAGAUAGUAACAAAUUUCAAUUUUCGUAAGGGUGAUAACAUAAGUUCAAUUUCAGAAGCGCAUUUUGUUAAAAAAAAAGCUAAAAUUAUUCACAAUUUAUGACUCAAAAAAGGAUUACAUGGUCUAGUUUAAGAAGCUUUUAUAUAAAAAAAGUUAAGAGUUAUAUAUUUUUUCUAAUCACAUAAAAAAAAAUACUAAUAGUGAUUUGUAAAAACUAAAAUUUUUUAUGACUAAUCGAUAAGUGAUUGAAAGUUGAAUUAGUUAUCAAUAUGGAACAAUUGAAUCAAACAUGGUUUAAGAUUUGAAUAUUUAUAAAUGGAGUUGAAAGUACAUAAAACUCAAAAAUAAUAACUUUGUCUCCAAACAUACAUUUUAUUGGUUAAGAGUUGAAAUUUUUAUAAUGAAGUCUUAAUUUUGAAAUUUUUUUUUAAGUACCAAUUAAAAAUAGAGUUAAAAAUAACAAUAAGAAGAAGAAGAUGUGAGGUUAAAAAUAGAUGUUGGUAAAAAUGGCCCACAAUUUUGAGUCCAUUGUAACAAAUGGCCCAAUUUCAAACUAUGAUGAGCCUUGUUCUAAAACUGUUAAAAGGAUUUGCUUUAAUAAAAAAAUCCCUAGUGCUUGUCACAAGGAAUAUUUUAAGGCUAAAAUGGAUUAACUUCAUUUUCUUUAAGCUCUAAAAUACGUAGAAAAUUUACACACUGAAGCAUUACCUUAGCGGUAAGUAUAUAUAUGUCCUCACAAUAGAUUCAAGUUUAAAUUUUCACCCAAAAAAUAUAAAAAUUUUCCCAAGUAGUUAAAAAUUGUCUAUUUUGAUUAUGAGAGUGAAAUUGAAAUCAAAUUAUUUUUAGGUAGUUUUAAGAAAGUUUUAAAACCUUGAAUUUUUAAUUCUGUUCUUUGAUUUUGGGAUCAAAGCAUUUUCAACUUUUUUCUUUUAAGUUUGGUAGCUUAAAUAAAUAAUAAUAAUAAUAAAUAAUAUUAUUGAAACAGAUUAAAUUAAAUUUUUUUAAUUCAUUGGAGGUUUUUAUGGGCCGAAAUAAUAUUGUGGACUGUAACAGGGGCAGUCCUCCCCUUGGCUCACUAAAUUGGUGAAAACAACUAUGAUUGAAAGAACUCGAAUUUGAGAGUUUUCAUUUCUCACAUAAGUGAGAAGACCAACCAGAUUAUCACCUGAUUGGUAUAAAAUAAACUAAUUUAAUGAAGUGUUAAAAAAAUUAUAAUAAAAUCAAAAAAUAAUUUUGAGAGAUUGUUUGAAAACUUUUUUUUAUGGUAUCAAAUCAUAACCGUCGAUUUUAAAUCAAAACAAUUGAUUCUGGUUUAAAAAAUAAAAAAAUCGAAAUCAAACUGUAAACAUAAAAUUUUGAUUACCGUUUGAAAUUGAAAACUGUUAAUCAUAAUUUAUGUCAAUUUUAAUAUGUUCAAAUUCAUUUUAAUUUUGCCGAUUAGGUGAUAAUUUGGUUAACCUUUUUACUUAUAUAAGGAAUGUGAAAUUUUAAAUUCAAUUUUUUAACUAUAUUUAUUUUUACUGUGAGCAGAGGAGAGAGUUAUUCUCUAUUUUAUAUAUAUAUAUAUAUAUAAUAGCUGCUGGGAGAGACCUCUAACGAGUUAAAAAGAAAUUCGUUAUGAUUGCAAACCGUGAUCAUUGCUACCCUGGCGGUUAAUUUGAGUCGCUCCCAGCUAAUUUGUGGAUUGCAAUUAAAAUAAAGAAAUAAAUAAAAACAUUUUCUCCUUUGUUCACUGGCGCACGUUUGCAAACACUCGAGGCUGCUCAAACGCAGAUUAUUUCGCCAUUUUCCCACUCAGAUUCUCAAACACGCGACGCAACAGAUCCCAUAGCCACAAGUAUAUAGAUUCUUGUGGACCCUACAGGAACCCCAGCAACAACAAAUAACGGUCAACAAAUUUAUAAAAAAAAAAAUUAAAUAAAAAACAAAAACUCUUCAGCUUCAAAAGAAGUAGCUACUAUUUUUCUCUUAACGCCAAAAAUGGAGUCUCUGUGUCCGAGUUUCGAUCUCUCGCCGGUCUCAACAAGACCUUCAAAACCUGCUUUACUUCCUCUAUUCUCUUCGCGGAAUCGAAUUUCGAGCUUAAAUAGACCUAAUAUAGCUAGAAAAUGGAGUGCAUCGUUGCCCUGUGCUUCCUAUAAUCAAACGGUUAAAACGGACUCCAAACCUCAAUCCAGCGCUCCAAAUUUAAUCAGAUCGAUCGGAAAAGGUUUCAUUGGUUUCGCUGCCGCUGCUACAGCUUUAGCUUCUCUUUGUUGCGACUCUCCGGCUUUUGCAGAGUCUCUAACUGUCGCUUUUCCUGUUUCCCGCGCUCGCGAGGUGACACUAACUCAUCUCUCAUCAUUCUUAUCGCUUUCUUUUCUUUAAAUAAAAAUUUUUGUUAAUUAUUUACUAUUUAUUGGUAUUUCCUAGUGAUUAAGGUUAAUCACUGAGUCAAUAAGGCUGGCUUAUUGUUAGGUGAAUACAGUUCAAAGAACGCUUGUGGAGGCUUGGGGUUUGAUUAGAGAAACAUUUAUAGACCCAACAUUUAAUCAUCAAGGUAGUUUGAAGAACUAUCGAAUUUUCUUUUUGCCCAAUUUUGUAUAAACCUGAAGUGCUAAAAACAAGAAUAUAUGAUGUGAUUUUUGUGAAUGAUUUGACAUACAAUGAGAAUUUUGAGAAUGAUUUGAUCUCUGCUUCUUGCUAAUUUUGAAUAUAUAGGUUCUAAAUUGUGUUAAUUUUUCUUUUUCCCUUAUGCAGAUUGGGAUUCAAAGUUGCAGCAAACUAUGGUGGAAAUGUUUCCUCUGAAUUCAGCUGAUGCUGCAUAUAACAAAAUCAGUGGAAUGCUUUCUACUCUUGGGGAUCCUUUUACUCGGAUUAUUAGUCCAAAGGUGUAUUGCAGAUAAUUUACUCUUUAAGCUUAUAUCAAAUUUUAUAUUGAUUCAAGCUGGCCAUUGCAACUACCCUGGCCAAAUUAACAGUUAUCUAGCUUUGGCAAAUAUUAUUUCACUUUUAUUUUCAAUCCCUAUUGUUUUUACGUUUUUGCCUACUGUAAUUCUACUAACAUUGUUUGUGUUAUGAUCGCAGGAGUACCAAAGUUUUAGAAUUGGAAGUGAUGGAAAUUUACAAGGAGUUGGAAUAUUUAUAAAUAUUGAACCAAAGACCGGCCAUUUGGUCAGUGAUAUUAUUUGUUCGUUUUUCCUGGCAAGAAACUAUACGUGUAAUAUUCAUCUGGCAAUUCGUAGGAUAUCUAACAUGCUCGAAAUCGGACCUUGAAAAGUUCUCAUUUUUCAACUAAUUUUAUACUGAUUACUGUGUCGACUGCCGUGAAAGAUGCUUCACUGUGCUAGUGAGAUAAAAAAAAAAAAAAAAAAAAAAAAAAAAAAGAAAGAUAAAUCUUAGCUCUGCAACAUUUACUCCGCAAUUAUUACAACGGUUUCCUAUUUAUAGGUAUCUCUGUAGUUUCCUCGCUUGUUCUUCAGGAACAUAUAAACUCUUACAUUCUUUUUAUGAAAACAAUCGAUUAUGUUGCCGAUAUGGUUAUUUAAUAAUGCUUCUUUCAUGCCGAUAUGGUUAUUUAAUAAUGCUUCUUUCCGGAUGAAAUCGUAUCAAGUACAGGGUCUUAGAUCAUAAUCCAUUGGGUUUCUUUUUUUUUUUUUUUUUGAUGACAAUCAAGUCAUUGGGGGUUUCACGAUAUAAGAGUUCUAAAAUUCAUCAUCUAUUUUUUCUUUUAUAUACUGUAUCGCUAUAUCCCAUUUUUUUAUAGUAAAUCCUAAUAUUAGAGAAAAGAGCUCUUAAAAAUUAAGGUAAUAAAUUUAUGUUGAUUGCUUUCCAAGGGGUUACUAAUUUUAGUGCUUCUCAACUGUCUUGGCAUUGCAGGUUGUUUUGUCCUGUGUGGAGGGUAGCCCAGCUGCCCGUGCUGGCAUACAUGAAGGAGAUGAAUUGGUUGAGAUUAAUGGUAUAUCUAAUCAUGCAUUUAAAUUUUCUCUUCAUGAUUUUUAAAUUAUGGUCUAGGUUACUGUUCGAUACAGUUUACUAGGUGAAAUUAUGACCUGGCACAUCAUGUUAUCAGCUUUGUCACUACAAUUACUAGAGUCAUAUGCUCAAAGCACCUACAAAAGGGAUAAUCAAAUUUUUGGUUGAUAAGAGUGGCAUUGCUAUUGAUCUUAAGACAAAUAAGUUUGCUCCAUACCAUUAUCUUUUUUUAUCUAGCUUUUGCCGGGUGCUAAAGAUAGAAUUUCUUGAGCCUUAUAGAGAAAAAUGCAAGUGUAAUAGGUACCAAAUUUGGACUAGUUGUGAUUAACAGUCUUCGAUAAGUUUGACGAGAUUCAUUACCUUGUUGAACAGUCUCAGGCUGCUUAACAUCUUUGAAUAUCUGUACUUAAAAAGGAUACCGUUCCAUGGUCUCAUUGAAAUUCAAGAAGAGGAGCAGGUAUUGAGAAUGUCAAAAAGUCAUUCCACCAAGGGCUUCAGUGAUUUGCACUUCAUGUAAAAGCCAACAUUGCUUAGGCUGCUGUUAUAUAUGUGAAAUUAAAAAUAUAUUACUGGUUUAUUUUAGAAUAUUCUACAAGUUUGUUAUAGCACGUGGAAGUUCAUAAUAGAGAUAAUUGCAUAUUAAAGGUCUGCUGUUGCUCUUUUUUUGCUAGAAUUUGCAGAAUACAACAAGGGAUACAUAAAUGCAUGAAUAGAAUCAGGCAAAGAUUGACGAUCUAUGUCUAGAGCUGGGAUGUCACUUCUAAAGGAGUGACAGUGACCUAUAAAGGCCUGCUGUUAUUUUUUUUAGUCAUUUCAACACCUGCUAAGUCAUUUCAACUCAGAACUCCUUUUUCAUGCAAUAUCAGGGGAAAGGCUUGAUGGUGUUGAUAGUGAAGCUGCAGCACGGAAGCUUAGAGGACGUGUUGGAACAUCAGUUACAGUAAAAGUCCACAGUGUAAUCAUUAAUUCUCAUUCUCAGCAACAUAUAUGAAGAAUUAUAUUCUGUUGACUGAUUAUUGAAUAUGUUCUGACAUUUCUUAGUGGCGAUUCCUUGUUAGGCUCCCAUCUUUGCAUUGUUAGUGACCUUGUGCACUUAUUCUAACAAGAUGAAGAUGGUUCACAUACGUUGAUAAUUUAUCUGAAUUUGGAAUAAAAAAUCUACUAGAAUUCCUAAACGCCGACCAGAUAGUUUUGUCUUACAGUAUCCUAGGGUAUGGAACUCUUGAAUAAUUCUCAGAUAUGGCUGGCAAGAGUGAGCAACAUAGCUUUGUGAAAUGUAUUGACAAAAUUUAUCACAGUAGUCUGAUCCCAUCUCAGCUAACUUUGCAUAGGGUUUUCUUAGUCAAGAGUGUUUUAUCCAAAGCAAAGAAUACUUUUGCAUUUUUACUAGUUAGCAAUUUCUUGCAACAGAAUAUUCAAGUUACUGUGAAUUGUAGAUGAAUGUUUGAUUUGACAGUUUCCCAAUGCAUGGUUUCUUUUUACUUUUAUUGAUGAUAUCAAUUUUCUUUUCUCGUUUUGGUAGCAUUUUGAACUAAUAAUUGAGGUUCUUAUAAAUUACAAUUUGCUUAAUAUUCGGUAUUCUUUUCUGCAGGCAGGGGAUUCAACAGCUAAUUCUAAUAUCAGAGAGGUAUUAAACCUUUCAUGAUUUUGCAUAAUAUUGAUAAUGCAGUGACAUUCAUCAUUUCAUAUAUUUGUUUGUCUUUCUGGGCUAUCUUCUAUGAACUUUAUACUUCUCAAACAUGGUGUAGUAGGAUCAGUUUUUUGAUAUACCUUUUUUAACUUUCUGAGAACUGAUGUUGAAACAUCUGGUUGCUAUUGAAGGUAAAUCUGCCUCGCGAGUACAUUAAGCUAUCCCCAAUAUCCAGCACCAUCAUCCCGCAUAGAACACCAGAUGGCCGUCAAACAAAGACUGGUUAUGUGAAGCUGUCAACUUUCUCUCAGGUACUGAUUACAGAAAACAUAGACCAAGUAAAAUUUCCUAAUUUCGGCAUUUGUUUUCGUCAUAAUUAUUUCUUUUUGUACACUGGAUUUGAAUUGCUUGCUAUACGAUGUGAAAGGCCUUUCUAUUCUUCUGACAGACUGCUGCUGCUGAUCUGGCAAAUGCCAUAAAUGAAAUGGAAACUCAGGGUGUACGUUCAUAUAUUCUGGAUUUACGGAACAACACAGUAUGUUUUUAGCCCUCAUAUUUAUAGAAGAACAAACUGAAAAGAUUUCAAUGUUUUUUUUUCAGAUUAUUUAUUUAGACGCUCUUAUUUUCCUUCAAUUCAUCCUACAGGGUGGUCUGGUAAAAGCAGGACUUGAUGUUGCCCAAAUGUGGCUGGACGGGGAUGAGACUCUUGUCAACACUAUUGAUAGAGAUGGGAAUAUGUUUCCUAUCAGCAUGGUGAAUGGGCAUGCCAUAACACAUGAUCCACUAGUUAUUCUUGUAAGACUCAGUUUUGAUAAUUUUUCUUCCAUAAAAAAUGAUGAGAACAAUUAUCAGUAUCUUCUAAACAGCUUGUUUCAAAUUUCAAAAGAAAUGGAAGUUCAAACUUCAAAGAUAUUUUGGCAUAAAGGGUCUAUUUAGUAACUGUUCUUGUUUUGAACAAAUUUUCUGUCAUUGCUGUUAAGUUACUUAGUUUCACUUCUGCAAUAGUAAUACCAUUGAGAACCUUUGCAGGAAGUAUCUGAAGUUCCAAAUUGCAUUUUAAAUAUAAUUUUCCAUGUUAUAACCAUACUUUCCACGAUAAUGAGUAAUAACUUUGAACUUUUAUUACUCGAAAUAGAUCAACGAGGGAAGUGCUAGUGCAAGUGAGAUUUUAGCUGGAGCCCUGCAUGACAAUGGUCGAGCUAUCCUUGUCGGGCACAAAACCUUUGGCAAAGGAAAAAUUCAGGUACAAUGUGGCAGUAACAGAGUAUAGGUUUGAAUCUUCUUUUAUUCUACCAGGGAACCUUUUUAAAGGUAAAAAGUAAAAGGCUCAAAUAUAAACAAUAGAAGAUGUAUUUCUGCAAUGUAUCGCAUUCUCAAGUAGUCCAACAUGUUCAAUUCAACUUGACAUAUAAGAAAUGAUACUAUUCUAAAACAUUAUCGUCCAAAGAAAAUGAUUAGAAUUGUGUGUUUUUGUAGUAUAUAUUAAUAUUAUCCUUAAUCUGUGGGCAUGCCAUAACCAACAUGUUUGCAAAAAAGAAGAUAAAUGUUGCGGAAUAUUUUUUAUGGCUAGUAUGAAUCUAUUCUUGGUUGAAAAUACUCUAAUUAUUCUGCUUCCACUUCAUCUUGGUGAUAACCUUCUUAUGUACUCUUUUUGAAUCGUUGCCCAUCACUUUUAUCAAGUUUAAAUUGAUGCCUACAUUUAUGCAUUACUUCUUAUGGUUUCUUAUUAUUUUAUUCUUUUUGUUUGUGCAGAGUGUAACAGAGUUGCAUGAUGGAUCUGCUCUAUUUGUAACAGUUGCAAAGUAUCUUUCACCUGCGCUUCAUGACAUAGAUCAAGUUGGGAUAAUGCCUGAUGUGCAGUGCACAACAGAUAUGCUUAAUUCAUCUAUGGAAUCAUUAUUGAAGAAUAAGACUUCAGUAUCAUCUCUUGAAGCAGAUUCCUGUAUCAUGGUUGCAGAACAUGAAUUGGACAUUCAAGAACCCAGAGGCACUGCAUCUUAGAAGGUAGGAUUCUUCUACUAUUGUUAAUUUCAUUACCCAAAAAAAAAAAAAAAAUGGAAUGUAUAUAUAUAUCUAUAUUUAUGAAGAAUGAACAAAAAAAAAUUGUCUUCAGAAAAUUGGAUGUACAGAUGUGAAGAAAUAACAAAAGAAUUGGUCAACUGCAUCUGCAUAAUCUAUGUUAGGUUAGAAAAUUACUAUAAAACCUCUAAUUGGUCUUCAGAAUCAGCAAUUUUAGUCUUUGAAGCUUGUUAAUGACCUAACACUUUGUACUUUAGUCCUUCAUGUUUUUGCUUAUAUAACACUUUGAUCCCUGAAAUCUUAAAACAAUGUAUCUUGAUCCUUUUAAAUUAUUAUACCAUGAAACACUUUAAUACAGCAAAAUCUUGUAUUUUCAUAGAAGUUAUAGAAAAUUACACAUGGUAGAAUUAAAAAACCACACUCUAAUUAGAAAAGGAAAAGACAAAUAAUUAAUUACCCAUUAUAUCAUUUAACUCUGUAAAUAGUAGAACAUCAAAGAAUGAAUACAAUACAAUAUGAUCAAACCAGAUUCAAAACCAACAAAUUGUACAUAGAAAAACCAUAAAACCACUGUAUGCAUAUAUAUAUAGAUAGAUACAGAUAUAGAUAUAGAAAGAGUCUAGUGCCUCAAAAGAGCAAUAAAAGAUAGAACAAGUGAGGAUGCAACAAUGGCACUAGACAUUGGUAGAGAGAAACCAGCUCCGGUAUCAGGACUUGGCGCUGGUGCCAACUGCGCGGAUACAUUAGUGUUCGCCAGGAAGAUGGCGGCUAUGCAAGCAAUGAUAACAGUUUUGCAGCUGUUAAAUUGAGCCAUUGUUAGCAAAAGGAUUGAAAAGAAUAUUAAAUGUGUUUUUAGGAACAGAAAUGUAAUUGAGCAAAGAACAAUUGGUGCAAGACAAUGGAUUGUGAGUCUAAGCCUCUAAGGCAAGGUAUAUAAAGAGUUGAGUAUGGACCCCACGUACUUAGCUGUGUGACUGUGACAGGUAAGCUGACUGGUCCACUGCGCGUACUUACCGUAAAAGAAUAGAUGACUGGGUAGGCUAGGUGGGCCAGCUUUGUGGACGGUGACUGAUAGGAUCUUGACACGUUGCAAUAUUGGGUUGUUGGUAUUUCAAUGUUGUGUCCUCUGUUGAGACGUUUCCAGAUAGGAAAUUUCCAAAAAUGAAUAGCUCUUUCCUUCCUUCUGUGAUUUUAAAAAUUUUAAUAAUAUAUGUAUUACAAUAUGAAAUAAAAAUAUAAGAAAAUAUCUAAUAAUUAUUUAAAUUAUUGGUCUUUUAAUAAACAUGCUAAUUGGAUUAAUCAUUGAGGAUGAAUGAAGACAGGCUUUGAGUUGGCACAUGAAGAAAGAAAUCAUCAUACAUUCACAAUUCACACCGGUUCCAUGUGCUAUCCUAUUUUUUACUCGUUAUUUUUUAGAAAAUAAUCUAUUGAAAUCUUUAGUAAUGAAAAUGAAAUUAUAAAAUUGAGUUCUGUUUUCUCUUUUAUUUUGUUUUAAAUAAAGGAGUACCAAAUAACAUUUCCAUAUCUUUCGAGAAGCAAAUCAUAGUCGUAAUUGGCUUGCUACCUAUACUUCUUCAUUGCCUUUAUUUUUUACAUAUUUUGGAUUUUCAUUAGGGUUGUUAUCUUGGCUAUCAUCGAAUUGUAGAGGUAUUGCUUUUCCUCCGCUGGCUUUGUAAUGGGUCGUAGAUGAUUAGCGACUUCAAUAUUCAUAAGUGUGAAAAUACAAGUUCAAUCCCUAGAAAUAAACUUUAUUAGAAAAGUGAAAAACCUUUAUGUUCUACGGCUCGAAAUAUUAAACCUUUUACUUAUAAAAAAAAAUUAUCAAAAGAAUACCUCAACGUCCAAAGAAAUUGUAUAUUAGAAGUCUUUCUCAAAAAACAAAAAUUUUAUUUAAUCAUUUAUUUAAUCAAGGGCACAUAAUUAAAUACAUAUAAAAAAUAAUCAAUACAAUAAUGCCAUGAUCCAUUAUAUCUCAUACAAUAAUAAAUAAAAACCAAUCUAACAACCCAAAAUUCCUUCUUCAAAAAAAAAAAAAAAAAAAAAAAAAAAAAAAAAAAAAGCUAAUAAUGUUUCAAGAGUGCAAUACAAGAGAUGACAAGAGAAAAUCCAAUAAGAGCACCAGAUACCGGCACAAAAAUUCCAGCUCCGGCAUCCAUGGAAGGUCCCGGAGCCAGUGCAAUUUGAGCUGAGGCAGUUGCAGCCAUGGAGACAGCAACAAUGAGAAAAAUUGCAAUAGCUUUAGAGAUGGUGAUUUGCUCCAUAAUUAAUAAAAUAUUAGUUAGGCAAGAGAAGAUGUUUUAAGGUUUUUUCAGUAUUGUAAUAACUGAUGCUAUGUGUUAAUACUUUAUAAGAGAAUUUAUCUGUUAAAAAGGAGAAAUAUAACAUACUGUGAUGAGAAUGUAUUGGCUGGAACAGCUAGUUCCAUAUAUUUUUUUGUAUCUGUUGGUUGGGUGGUUGGUCUACAGACGGAACGGCGCCGUAUAACAGCAAAUUUGCAGUUGGCAUUUCAUUGUUUGAGUUGGUUGGCCGGUUUCUAUUUGGAGAUGGGAGACCUUACCAAACAUAUGGCUGGGGCCAACUACACGUGAUGAUGUUAACAAUUAGUAAAAUGCCAAUGCUAUUUACCAACAAAGGUAUAAUAGACAUCAAUUUCUACACGCGGGUGCAAGUUUGAUUUUCAAGAAGUGCACUUUACUGACUCUACAGUCUGAGUAGAAUUACACUUUCUGAUUAUAUCAAAGAAAAGAAAAAAAAGAGACGAAUGGUAUUUUUUUUCCAUAAAAACCUUUCAACAAUGAUAAAUUCAAAGCCAAAAAAAUCAAUUAAUUAAUAAUUAGAGUUGAUUAAAUGCUAAUUAUCUUUAAUGAAAAAACGUCAUCAUCUUUUUUUUUUUUUUUGAGGGCCUUAUAUAUGUAGUUAUCAUAAUGAAUAAGUGUAAGAAAACAAACAAGACUUGUUUGAGCCAUGAUUGUAAGUUUCUGUUUUGUUUUAUUGGGUAAUGCAAGUACAUUACCUAUAGAUCCAAGAGGCAACAUCAGAUAUUUCUAUAAGGACUAAGGAGAAUUAAUAGUCUGAGAAUAAAUUUAAAAAAAUUAAAUGGAUUAUUUUCUUGGAAGCUUUUAUAUGAUUGUUUCAGAAAUUUAAUUAUUAAUAUUAUACUUUGUAUAUUGAUAAUACUAAUAAUUUUGUUGCUUUUAUAAAUAUUGAGAUUGCUUAUUACUCCGACGAUGAAUUAUUGAUAAUUUGAUAAUUAAUUUAACUCUUCUUUUAAUUUAAAUGAUUAGAAACAUUUUCAAAUCAGUUUAAAUUAAAAUUUUCUCCAGUGAGAUUUCAAGGAUAUAUUCUAUAUGCUGUACAAUUUUUUGAAUAAACACAAAAAAAUUAUAUUCAAUUUGACAAUUUGCAAAGAUUUAAAAAAGUGGGCUCCUGAGAUUUUUUUUUUUAGUCCACAGGCUUGACAUUUUAAGACGAAGAUUCAAAUACAAUAAAAUUUGAACUUGCAAGUUCAAACCAAAAUUUCACCUAUAUUUGAAAUGCAAUCAAAAUUUGAACUUAACCUAAAACCCCUUUAAAAUGUUAUAUUCCAUUUUUGGAACAACAAGCUGAAAUUGUUGUCUUGCAAUUCACAGUGAAUUAAAUGAUACUUUGAUUUUUUUUUCUUCUGCUCUAAGUCUAUUGCUGAGUCCUUCUGAGAGAAUAUCUAUUAGGACUCUAAGAUUGACUUUGAAAGUUCAAAUUAACACUAAUCCGUGAAGAUUCGAAGUCCCAAACAAAUCCAGAUCUUAAACAAACGACAAAAAUCAAAUAGGUAAACCAUAAAUUCGUCAUUCCAUUAUAAGAAUUAUAAUAAACAACAAAGAAUAAAUCCAAUACAUAGAAUUUUCACUCCACUCAAACAAUAAAUAAUAAGAUGAUCAAAAACUCUAAUUAAUGCUUCAAUAGACCAAGAAAAGAAACCAAAAGAGACAAUCCAACAACAGCACCAGAAACCGGCAAAGAGAACCCAGCUCCGGCAUCAGGAGAUGGAGCAGGGGCUGCCACCUGGGCUGAAACUGCUGGGAAAACAACUGCGAAAACAACAAUCAUGACUGCCAAUGCCUUGGAGAUGCUAACUUGAGCCAUUGCUAUUUUGAAGAAGAAUAAAAAUGAAAUUGACAGAGAAAAAGAGAGUCAAAUUGCUCUUCUUUUGUUUUCUAUGGCUUCUUUAGCAAAAGAGAGCAAAUUUGCUGUGUGUUUUGUUGUUGUGAGAAGCAACGGCUAUAUUUAUAGGGGUUUUGGAGAAAUUAAAAUUUUCGUCGGGCCAACGUUCGGCUAACGGUAACAGCUGCGCUUUUGCUAGAGUAUACAGGCUGUGACAUGUGGCUGUGAUGAGUGGUCCAUAAGAGGUAUACAGUCGGUG
rnacentral:lncRNA from 1 species